ensembl:snRNA U6 U6 spliceosomal RNA
GUGCUCACUUUGGCAGCACACAUACAAAAAUUAGAAUGAUACAGAGAAGAUUAGUAGGACCCCUGUGCAAGAGUGACACGCAAAUUCCUGAAGUGUUCCAUAUAAAA